GAGCAAAUCCCAGAAACAGCGUCCCAGUUCGGAUUGCAGUCUGCAACUCGACUGCAUGAAGCCGGAAUCGCUAGUAAUCGCGGAUCAGAAUGCCGCGGUGAAUACGUUCCCGGGUCUUGUACACACCGCCCGUCACACCAUGGGAGUCGGGAAUGCCCGAAGCCGGUGACCCAACCUUCGGGAGGGAGCCGUCGAAGGCAGGCCUGGUAACUGGGGUGAAGUCGUAACAAGGUACC
rnacentral:rRNA from 1 species